UACGUAGGGUGCAAGCGUUGUCCGGAAUUAUUGGGCGUAAAGAGCUCGUAGGCGGUCUGUCGCGUCGGCUGUGAAAUCCCGAGGCUCAACCUCGGGUCUGCAGUCGAUACGGGCAAACUGGAGUGUUGCAGGGGAGACUGGAAUUCCUGGUGUAGCGGUGAAAUGCGCAGAUAUCAGGAGGAACACCGGUGGCGAAGGCGGAUCUCUGGGCCGUAACUGACGCUGAGGAGCGAAAGCAUGGGGAGCGAACAGG
rnacentral:rRNA from 1 species